GGACGGGUUCCCGAGUGGCCAAAGGGGGCAGACUGUAAAUCUGCUGGCGUACGCCUUCGGAGGUUCAAAUCCUUCCCCGUCCA
rnacentral:tRNA from 1 species